AGUGAACGCUGGCGGUAGGCCUAACACAUGCAAGUCGAACGGCAGCACAGUAAGAGCUUGCUCUUACGGGUGGCGAGUGGCGGACGGGUGAGGAAUACAUCGGAAUCUACUUUUUCGUGGGGGAUAACGUAGGGAAACUUACGCUAAUACCGCAUACGACCUACGGGUGAAAGCAGGGGAUCUUCGGACCUUGCGCGAUUGAAUGAGCCGAUGUCGGAUUAGCUAGUUGGCGGGGUAAAGGCCCACCAAGGCGACGAUCCGUAGCUGGUCUGAGAGGAUGACCGCCCACACUGGAACGGAGACACGGCCCAGACUCCUACGGGAGGAAGCAGGGGGGAUUAUUGGACAAGGGGCGCAAGCCUGAUCCACCCAUCCCGCGUGGGGGAAGAAGGCUUUCGGGUCGUAAACCCUUUUUUUGGGGAAAAAAAAAAAGCAGUUUAAUCCCCCGCUGUUCUGACGUUACCCAAAAAAAAAGCCCCGGCUAACUUCGUC
rnacentral:rRNA from 1 species